rnacentral:lncRNA from 1 species
CAAUAACAAGUAGAAAAAACAACGACAGUAUGCUUCAAGAUAUCUCAUGCUCCAAAUAACAGCCUGCAAAAUAACGACGAUUGUUCCGAACAGCCGUACACCGACGGAUGGAUCGAGCUGAUUGACAGGUGACAAUACGAUCGGUAUCCGAAGGCCAGAAGCUACCUGACACGCCUCGAAACCAUCCAGCCAAACAAAAC